rnacentral:rRNA from 1 species
GGGGAAUCUUCCGCAAUGGGCGAAAGCCUGACGGAGCAAUACCGCGUGAGGGAGGAAGGCUCUUGGGUCGUAAACCUCUUUUCUCAGGGAAGAACACAAUGACGGUACCUGAGGAAUAAGCAUCGGCUAACUCCGUGCCAGCAGCCGCGGUAAUACGGAGGAUGCAAGCGUUAUCCGGAAUGAUUGGGCGUAAAGCGUCCGCAGGUGGCUGUGUAAGUCUGCUGUUAAAGAGUGAGGCUCAACCUCAUAAAAGCAGUGGAAACUACACUGCUAGAGUGCGUUCGGGGCAGAGGGAAUUCCUGGUGUACCGGUGAAAUGCGUAGAGAUCAGGAAUAACACCGGUGGCGAAAGCGCUCUGCUAGGCCGCAACUGUACACUUGAGGGAAGAAAGCUUAUGGGUACGAAAGGGUAUUAUUUCCCCCA